GUGAGUGAUUUGGUUCUCUUUGUUGAAAAUAGUUUUAAUACCCAAAACUUCUCUAUGAUACCUGCAAACCAAAAGAAGCUAAUGACAUGAGGUGGUCGUAAUUUCGGUACCCAGAACUCUCCAUCAAGAUCGGAUGUGCUGUCUCUUAUAGGUCAACAAACAGGGUCUGCUAUGUGAAUCAGAUGGCAACAUGGGCAUUAUCAUAUGUGAAGUUAGAGUUGCUCAUGGUUUCAUCAUAAAUACUCAUGUCAUAAACUGAGCUUUCUUUCAAGAGAUGUUUGAAGGUGUUAAA